rnacentral:rRNA from 1 species
GACGAACGCUAGCGGCGUGCCUAAUACAUGCAAGUAGAACGCUGAAGCUUGGUGCUUGCACCGAGCGGAUGAGUUGCGAACGGGUGAGUAACGCGUAGGUAACCUGCCUGGUAGCGGGGGAUAACUAUUGGAAACGAUAGCUAAUACCGCAUAAGAGUAGAUGUUGCAUGACAUUUGCUUAAAAGGUGCAAUUGCAUCACUACCAGAUGGACCUGCGUUGUAUUAGCUAGUUGGUGAGGUAACGGCUCACCAAGGCAACGAUACAUAGCCGACCUGAGAGGGUGAUCGGCCACACUGGGACUGAGACACGGCCCAGACUCCUACGGGAGGCAGCAGUAGGGAAUCUUCGGCAAUGGACGGAAGUCUGACCGAGCUACGCCGCGUGAGUGAAGAAGGUUUUCGGAUCGUAAAGCUCUGUUGUAAGAGAAGAACGAGUGUGAGAGUGGAAAGUUCACACUGUGACGGUAUCUUACCAGAAAGGGACGGCUAACUACGUG